rnacentral:lncRNA from 1 species
GACAAAUUGGGCCAAUCCAGAAAUCUACCUGAUUCAUACUCUGGCUAGCCGUUCACCCAGAGUCAGUGACAGUAUCUGUCCUUCCGCGGGGCCAUCAGCGAUACCGGUGCAGGAACGAGCAGCUGACAGCAGGGGACCGAAAGCAGCGGCGCUCAAGCCAGGACGCUCACAGUGUUGCCCUCGAGCCCUCUGACCUGAGUCACUUUCUACACCCAGGGAGCCCCGCUCGCCCCCACCCCAGGCCCGCCCCACCGGCAACCGCUCACCGCACCUCGGGCUGCGUGUUUCAAAUUGGGCUCUGUUCCUUUGCAUUUCUGACUGAAGAAUGAAGUGUCUCUCACUUGCCAUCUUUUAAGAAUCCAGCAACCAAAAGC